rnacentral:rRNA from 1 species
UACGUAGGGUGCAAGCGUUGUCCGGAAUUAUUGGGCGUAAAGAGCUCGUAGGCGGUCUGUCGCGUCGGCUGUGAAAACCCGGAGCUCAACUCCGGGCCUGCAGUCGAUACGGGCAGACUGGAGUUCGGCAGGGGGACGACUGGAAUUCCUGGUGUAGCGGUGAAAUGCGCAGAUAUCAGGAGGAACACCGGUGGCGAAGGCGGGGUCUCUGGGGCCGAUACUGACGCUGAGGAGCGAAAGCGUGGGGGAGCGAACA